rnacentral:rRNA from 1 species
CGAGCGGUAUUUGUUCUUCGGAACAGAGAGAGCGGCGUACGGGUGCGGAACACGUGUGCAACCUGCCUUUAUCUGGGGGAUAGCCUUUCSAAAGGAAGAUUAAUACCCCAUAAUAUAUUKGUCGGCAUCGAUGAAUAUUGAAAACUCCGGUGGAUAGAGAUGGGCACGCGCAAGAUUAGAUAGUUGGKGAGGUAACGGCUCACCAAGUCUGCGAUCUUUAGGGGGSCUGAGAGGGKGAUCCCCCACACUGGUACUGAGACACGGACCAGACUCCUACGGGAGGCAGCAGUGAGGAAUAUUGGACAAUGGGUGAGAGCCUGAUCCAGCCAUCCCGCGUGAAGGACGACGGCCCUAUGGGUUGUAAACUUCUUUUGUAUAGGGAUAAACCUACUCUCGUGAGAGUAGCUGAAGGUACUAUACGAAUAAGCACCGGCUAACUCCGUGCCAGCAGCCGCGGUAAUACGGAGGGUGCAAGCGUUAUCCGGAUUUAUUGGGUUUAAAGGGUCCGUARGCGGAUCUGUAAGUCAGUGGUGAAAUCUCACAGCUUAACUGUGAAACUGCCAUUGAUACUGCAGGUCUUGAGUGUUAUUGAAGUAGCUGGAAUAAGUAGUGUAG